UGCGGGGUGGAGCAGUCUGGUAGCUCGUUGGGCUCAUAACCCAAAGGUCGCAGGUUCAAAUCCUGCCCCCGCAACCA
rnacentral:tRNA from 5 species